GCAAAAAUGCAAGCUAAAAAAAUAAAAUAUAUAAAAUUAUUUGACUAAAACAAAAAUGAGCGUUAAUGUAAUAAGUGGUUAUAGUAUGCGUAGCAGAAGAGGAAAACAAACGUAAAAAUAUUAAAUUAAUCAAUAAUUUCCAGCAGCUCAGCAUGGCAGACGCAACAAUGCGCCCGUGUCAAUAGCAUGCCUUUAUGCGCUGUUUCAGCCCACAAAGUGAAGGCGUAACGCUGUCUUUAGAAGACUCACUAAAUUCGAGAUUUAAGUUAGUCUGCCGUAUAGUUAGCGAAACUAGCGCACACAUACCAAAAAACAAAAACAAACAGCUAAUAUUAUAACACUAUAGCUUGUUCGCAUUGACUCAGUUACAUAUGUAACAUAAAUACACACACACCCAUACACAUAUGUACUUUUAAAUAGGGUUAAAUUAUUUAGACGUGUUUAUGCACAAACUGUAGCGACUUUAAUUUUCUACUGUGAUAGAAUUUUCCUUUUAUUUGUGUAGCAGCACGCACACACACACACACAAAUACAUAUACUAUACAGCUAAGCUAUUUUGGUGGUUGUAUAUGUAGACAGAGAGCCAACAUUAGAAAGCCAAUUUGUUGUAUUUUUCGCUUAUUUCCAGCCUUUCAUGCGUGGAUUUGUUUAAUAUUAUUUUAGCAAUAACACUUUUGUGGUGAAAGGGGUGAAAGGGACGUGAUUAAACACUGCUACUUGCUUGAUAUUUUACCUACACAAUGAGUUUAUAGCUUUUUUGUUGUUUUUGUUGUGCCACAUAACAGACGCAGCAAAUUUGGUUUGGCACAAUUGAAGAUUUUUCUAUAAAUGUGUGCAACAUAAAGCAGUUUAUAUUUAUUUGUAAGUUUAAUGGAGCAAUUUUGGAGUUUGGAAAAGAGCCUUUGAGGUUAGAAAUUAGCUAUUGAGGUUAAGAAUUGAAUUUUGGGGUUAGAAUGAGUUUUUCAGCCUAGAAUGAGCGCUUGAGUUGAGAAAUGAGCUUUUGAGCUUAAAAUGAACUUUUCAGGUUAGACAUGAGCACUUGAGGUUAAAACAAACUCUUGAAGUUAGAAAUGAGCUCUUGAGAUGAGAAAAUAAAAUUUGAGGUUAGAAAUGAGCACUUGAGGUUAAAACAAAAUCUUGAAGUUAGAAAUAAGCCUAAAAUGAGCAUUUGAACUUAUAAUCAAGUUUUAGAAGUGAGCCUGUGAGCUAAGAAUGAACUUCUGAAGUUAGAAAAGAGCUUUUGAGGUUCGAAAUGAGUCUUUAAGGUUAGAAAAGAGCUUUUGAGGUUCGAAAUGAGCUUUGGAGGUUAGUUUGUGCUCUUGAGCUUAGACUGAACUGUUGAGCUUAGAAUGAAAUUUAGAGUUUGGAAAGAGGUUUUUGGGUUUAGAAUGAUAUGUUAGUGUUAGAUAUGAGUUUUUGAACAAGCUUUUGGGGUUAGAAAAGAGUUUUUGAGCUCACCAUGAGUUUUCGAAGUAAGAACGAACUUUUAAGCUUAGAAAGUACUUUUGAGUUUAGAAAUGUGAAAUGUUGCUAAUUUAACCACGUGAUAUUUAUAAUUUGAAAUGAUUUUUAUUAUUUGCAAAAAAAACAUAUACAUUUUUUUAAAGCGCUUGUGUCCAUCAAAGCAUUUUUUAAGUCCUUGUUUUCGCCAAAGACAAAGUAAGACCAUGCGUGUUGCCACCAUUUUUAGUUUGUGCACAUAAAUAAGGCGUUCGUACUUUUAUUCAGUUUCAUUUCAGUUUUCCUUUUUUUUACCAUAACUCUGUUGACUAUAAACAAAAUAUUAGUAACUUUAGAAGCAAUACGAAAAUAUAUUAGAAUAGUAAAGAGUUAGAUGUCUAUGAAAUUUGUGGUAAAUAUAGCGAAAAAUUGUGUUUAAAGUAGAAAAAUGUAAAAAAUUGGAGCGCUGAUGGUACAAAAACAACAAGAAAUAAAAUAACGAAAGUAAAAUUUGUAACAGCCACACAAGCAUUAGCAAGUAAUGCGUUGAUUUUGCUACAUUAGAACAACAACAAAAAAUAAAAAACAUAAUUUUACAUAUGAAUAGCGGAAUUACAUAUGUACAUAUGUAAGAAAUUUGCAAAGAGAACAAAAAAAACAUUGGAAUACUAAGCAAAUGAAAUACAAUAUUAAUGUUAUGUAUUAAGUCAACGGUAAAAACGAGCUGUAAACGUUUGGAACGACACAGAUGGCGGCAGAAACUAACUGUUUGCAAAAGGAAGGUGCAAAACGGACUUUGGGCAGCAUAAAUUAGAAUAGUUAUAAAAAGCAUAAGCGAAAACACUAAAUUUGCUAGUUCAUUAAAAGCCACUAAUAGUUGACAGACACAGUUGCAUAGUAAAAAGAUCGUAAUAGUUGUGACAAUAGUAAGGAAAAUAAAGAAAUUACUGCAAUAGCAACAAAACAACCUACAACAUGAAGCUUUAAAUAGAAAAAACUAGAAAAAAGAAACCAAAACCCAGAAAAUAUUGAGA
rnacentral:lncRNA from 1 species